rnacentral:pre_miRNA from 1 species
AGAGCAAAGGUGAGCCAAGGACGACUUGUCUGAGGAUUUUAUCCCAAGCGAUGAGGCGUAUAUCAGGCAAGUCAUCCUUGGCUCAUUUCUACUCUCU